UGUUAAAUGCACAUUUUGUAUGCCUGGCUCCCUGUAUGCCAUUUGCAAAGCCCAUCAAGAGUCCGGUGGCCUUCGUGGAUGGCAUGCGAGGAGCCAUGCAUGCAUUCUGCUGUCUUAACG
rnacentral:pre_miRNA from 1 species